GACGAACGCUGGCGGCGUGCUUAACACAUGCAAGUCGAACGGUAAGGCCCCUUCGGGGGUACACGAGUGGCGAACGGGUGAGUAACACGUGGGUGACCUGCCCUGUACUUCGGGAUAAGCCUGGGAAACUGGGUCUAAUACCGGAUAUGACCUUCCCCUGCAUGGGGGUUGGUGGAAAGCUUUUGCGGUACAGGAUGGGCCCGCGGCCUAUCAGCUUGUUGGUGGGGUAAUGGCCUACCAAGGCGACGACGGGUAGCCGGCCUGAGAGGGCGACCGGCCACACUGGGACUGAGACACGGCCCAGACUCCUACGGGAGGCAGCAGUGGGGAAUAUUGCACAAUGGGCGAAAGCCUGAUGCAGCGACGCCGCGUGAGGGAUGACGGCCUUCGGGUUGUAAACCUCUUUCAGUAGGGACGAAGCGCAAGUGACGGUACCUACAGAAGAAGCACCGGCCAACUACGUGCCAGCAGCCGCGGUAAUACGUAGGGUGCGAGCGUUGUCCGGAUUUACUGGGCGUAAAGAGCUCGUAGGCGGUUUGUCACGUCGUCUGUGAAAACCCGAGGCUUAACCUCGGGCCUGCAGGCGAUACGGGCAGACUUGAGUACUGUAGGGGAGACUGGAAUUCCUGGUGUAGCGGUGGAAUGCGCAGAUAUCAGGAGGAACACCGGUGGCGAAGGCGGGUCUCUGGGCAGUAACUGACGCUGAGGAGCGAAAGCGUGGGUAGCGAACAG
rnacentral:rRNA from 1 species